UACGGGGGGGGCAAGCGUUGUUCGGAAUUACUGGGCGUAAAGGGCUCGUAGGCGGCCAACUAAGCCAGACGUGAAAUCCCCCGGCUUAACCAGGGAACUGCGUCUGAUACUGGAUGGCUUGAGUUCGGGAGAGGGAUGCGGAAUUCCAGGUGUAGCGGUGAAAUGCGUAGAUAUCUGGAGGAACACCGGUGGCGAAGGCGGCAUCCUGGACCGACACUGACGCUGAUGAGCGAAAGCCAGGGGAGCAAACGGG
rnacentral:rRNA from 1 species